GUAGAGCCUGUCUUUAGAUGUAUUUGAGCUAUUCGAAGUCUCAUGAAUGUAACUAUUCCAAGAUGGGGCAACCAGGUAGUUUUGUAUUCAUACAGUCCGUGUUUUAUGUCUUAGUUUCAGAUCCCAGAUAUCAUAUCCAAUCACGACUCAAUUUGUAGGUGCCCUGUACAUCAUCUCAGUUUUUCUCAGUAUCUCAACCAAGUCAGUAUUUUUUGAGGGACAAAAUAUCCCAAGGGGGAGAUGCUCUAUAACCCCCAAGCUAUCAAGU
rnacentral:lncRNA from 1 species